rnacentral:rRNA from 1 species
UACGUAGGGUGCAAGCGUUGUCCGGAAUUAUUGGGCGUAAAAGAGCUCGUAGGCGGUUUGUUGCGUCGGCUGUGAAAUCCCGAGGCUCAACCUCGGGUCUGCAGUCGAUACGAGCAAACUAGAGUGUUGCAGGGGAGACUGGGAAUUCCUGGUGUAGCGGUGAAAUGACGCAGAUAUCAGGAGGAACACCGGUGGCGAAGGCGGGUCUCUGGGCAACAACUGACGCUGAGUCACACGAAAGCGUGGGGAGCAAACAGG